rnacentral:rRNA from 1 species
CCUACGGGCGGCUGCAGUGGGGAAUAUUGGACAAUGGGGGGAACCCUGAUCCAGCCAUGCCGCGUGUGUGAAGAAGGCCCUCGGGUUGUAAAGCACUUUCAGUGAGGAAGAACGCCUGGUGGUUAAUACCCAUCAGGAAAGACAUCACUCACAGAAGAAGCACCGGCUAACUCCGUGCCAGCAGCCGCGGUAAUACGGAGGGUGCGAGCGUUAAUCAGAAUUACUGGGCGUAAAGCGCGCGUAGGUGGCUUGAUAAGCCGGUUGUGAAAGCCCCGGGCUCAACCUGGGAACGGCAUCCGGAACUGUCAAGCUAGAGUGCAGGAGAGGAAGGUAGAAUUCCCGGUGUAGCGGUGAAAUGCGUAGAGAUCGGGAGGAAUACCAGUGGCGAAGGCGGCCUUCUGGACUGACACUGACACUGAGGUGCGAAAGCGUGGGUAGCAAACAGGAUUAGAUACCCCGGUAGUC